rnacentral:tRNA from 1 species
GAAAUUAUGCUAAAUAGGAGAAAAAGCAAUUGAUUUAGAAUCAAAAGUCCUGAGUUCAAGUCCCAGUCUUGUCA